AUGUUUAAGAAAAACAAGAGGAAAUCACAGGAGCGAAAAAUAUCCAAGAAAAACAACAGCAAAGAAAGGAAGACUUCUCGGGAUCAAAAUUCAGAAAGCCAAAGGACAACUCCCUUCUUUCCACAGAAUUGAAAACUUUUUUCUCCAGAGGUUGGCAGGAUAGUGUGGGCCAUUUACUUUGUUGUGAUUUGACAGGAACAGCAUUCAGAGUCGGUGAUUGGUAUCUUUUGACGGCCUUUCACAUAAUUGAAAGCACAUUGGGUGCGUGCUUGAAAAUGAUAAUAGAAAAUGCCCAGUGUGACCCAAAUCGUGGAAACAACUAUCUGUAUCUAUUGCAAGUUUUGGAAGUGAAAGGGUCUGGAUCAGGGGUUGAGAUGAUGAUAGAGAAUGGAAUUAAAGAGUGGAUUACAAAA